AUGUGGGCGGCUGGUAGGCAGUGUCUUGUUAGCUGGUCAAUUCUGCGCCCCAGCUUACCUGCUGCUGCCCUCCAGCUGUCCAUCUA
rnacentral:pre_miRNA from 11 species